UCAUUAUAAUUAAAAUAAACAACAACAAAAAAACCCAAAUCAGUUUUCCUAAACCUAAUCCCCCGACGCCAAUCGUUUCACGCCUCUCUCUCUCGACACAGCAUCUCUCUCGGGUCUGACCUCGGGUCUUUUCCGGCGCGAUGAUCUCUUCUUCUCCGGCUCAAAUAUCUUCUUCUCCGACUAUACUCCGCCGUGAAGCUCUUCAUCUCCGGUCUAAUCUCCUCUUCUCCUCUCUAAAUCGAAGAAGCAACAUUGGUAAAAGGAUUCAAUAGAGGUAUAGGUACAUUCUAAGCGCUGUUGGCUAUGAAAUUUUCUUGCAUUUAUGGUAGCACCCGAGACAAGACAGGCUUUCCGUCAGAAACUUCAAAGAGUUGGAAACAAAGGAGCCAAAGUCUUUAGGUUGUUUGGAGAAAAAGUGGAGCCAAAGUCUUAGUGAUAUCACGCUUUCAUCAUAAUUCAUAAUUUAGUACAUGUCAAUAUGUCAUAUGCUUGUAACGUUGAUUUAUGUAAACCAUGAUUUGUAUUUAUAAACGAAGGAGACAAAGUCUCGGCUUUUAUCUCUUA